rnacentral:misc_RNA from 1 species
GAACGCACAUUGCGCCCCUUGGUAUUCCACUGGGCAUGCCUGUUCGAGCGUCAUCUACACCCUCGAGCUGUGCUUGGUGUUGGGCGUCUGUCCUCGUUCCCCGCGGACUCGCCUCAAAUGCAUUGGCGGCGGCUCUACCGGCUUCUUGCGCAGCACUUUUGCGCGUGGAAGACCGGUGGGCUCGCACCCAUCAAGGACCUCUCCAUUUGACCUCGAAUCAGGUAGGGAUACCCGCUGAACUUAAG